rnacentral:piRNA from 1 species
UGUGCAUGACAAUGGUGCCAGCUUUGGGCCC